rnacentral:misc_RNA from 1 species
CAGAGUCAUGCUUGAUGAAGGAGCUGGGUCUUCGGUUCCGAGAAACAAGAUCGAGGAAGGAGUUCGGAAGAUGUUAAUGGGAUGGGCGUAAUAUGGAAAUUCUUAAGUGGAGAUUGGAGAAUACUUUAGUUAGAGCUAUAUAUAUAGCUUGCUCUUCCAGGUUAAGAUGGGCUGCUCCUCCUUAUCUUAUUGAUGCAUGUAACAUGUUAUCUCUGUAUUCUAAAGGGAUAGAAUCGUGUGAAUUAUG